rnacentral:rRNA from 1 species
GACGAACGCUGGCGGCGUGCUUAACACAUGCAAGUCGAACGGAAAGGCCUCUUUCGGGGGGUACUCGAGUGGCGAACGGGUGAGUAACACGUGAGUAACCUGCCCUUGACUUUGGGAUAACUUCAGGAAACUGGGGCUAAUACCGGAUAGGAGCUCCUGCGGCAUGGUGGGGGUUGGAAAGUUUCGGCGGUUGGGGAUGGACUCGCGGCUUAUCAGCUUGUUGGUGGGGUAGUGGCUUACCAAGGCUUUGACGGGUAGCCGGCCUGAGAGGGUGACCGGCCACAUUGGGACUGAGAUACGGCCCAGACUCCUACGGGAGGCAGCAGUGGGGAAUAUUGCACAAUGGGUGGAAGCCUGAUGCAGCAACGCCGUGUGCGGGAUGACGGCCUUCGGGUUGUAAACCGCUUUCGCUCAUGACGAAGCUUUGUGUGACGGUAGUGGGUAAAGAAGCACCGGCUAACUACGUG